rnacentral:rRNA from 1 species
CCUACGGGAGGCAGCAGUGGGGAAUAUUGGGCAAUGGGCGCAAGCCUGACCCAGCAACGCCGCGUGAAGGAAGAAGGCUUUCGGGUUGUAAACUUCUUUUCUCAGGGACGAAGAAAGUGACGGUACCUGAGGAAUAAGCCACGGCUAACUACAUGCCAGCAGCCGCAUGAAUACGUAGGUGGCAAGAGUUAACCGUAUUUAUUGGGUGUAAAGGGGGUGUAGUCGGGGGCGCAAGGCCGAUGUGAAAACUCAGGGCUCAACCCUGAGCCUGCAUUUGAAACUGUGUUUCUUGAGUGGUGGAGAGGCAUUCGGAAUUCCGUGUGUAGCGGUGAAAUGCGUAGAUAUACGGCGGAACACCAGUGGCGAAGGCGGAUUGCUGGACAGUAACUGACGCUGAGGCGCGAAAGCGUGGGGAGCAAACAGGAUUAGAGACCCGAGUAGUC